GAGCGGCAGGUCGAUGGAGGCACCACAGCCAGAUAAGGGUUGGACCAAGCAUCAGGCCAGAAUUCUACAUGAGUCGGCAUCAUUUGACAACAUUUCCAAAAAAAUGGAAAAAGGGCAUGCUACACUUCUGACAUCUCAGAAUCUGAAAAUUCUAUAAAAAGAAUUCACA